CAUGAGGCCUCUGGUAUAUGCAAAUGGCAAGUUGAUGGGCUCUGCCGACCUUGAUCCAUCAGUGCAACUCCAGGAGAUGGUGGCAGAUCCGAUACCGGAGCUUCUGACAGCAUGUUCCAGUCUGAAACUAACUCUAAGCUUGCUCCUCAUCGUCACCUGCAGAGAAUAUCGAUUUGGGAUAAUGUAGAACUUACUCGGCAAAGAUCAUGACACAGAAAAAGUCUGAGAAGGUGGUAACGGUUUUUUUAGCAACAGCGGCAGCUAAAGCAGCCGGAGAAUUAAUGGCAAAAUGAUCACUCUUACAGGUUUGAGGUCCAGAUGACAGCUGCGAGAGCUCGUUUAGAAAGAAGCUUCCGACGUACGUAUUCCACUCCUUCUGCAAUUCAAGAUUCUCUGGUGAUGCAAGUGAUGGGAGAGAAGUAGUUUGGACCAUGAUGUCUUUUAGCCGAUUGAGAGCUGAAUUACACGAAUCCAUAGAGUUCUCUAGCUUCGACUUCAAGGAUUUUAAGAGUUGAGGAGGGAUCAAAUCUCCUUGCCUCAUCUCCCUGGUAGGAUCACUCUCGGUCGAUUGGACUACAAGUAUGUCCCAAAGAUCUUUCUGGUAGUUUAUAGCUUUGCUCAA